UGGGGAAUUUUGGACAAUGGGCGCAAGCCUGAUCCAGCCAUGCCGCGUGCGGGAAGAAGGCCUUCGGGUUGUAAACCGCUUUUGUCAGGGAAGAAACGGUCUGUCUUAAUACUGCGGACUAAUGACGGUACCUGAAGAAUAAGCACCGGCUAACUACGUGCCAGCAGCCGCGGUAAUACGUAGGGUGCAAGCGUUAAUCGGAAUUACUGGGCGUAAAGCGUGCGCAGGCGGCUUUGCAAGACAGAUGUGAAAUCCCCGGGCUCAACCUGGGAACUGCAUUUGUGACUGCAAGGCUGGAGUGCGGCAGAGGGGGAUGGAAUUCCGCGUGUAGCAGUGAAAUGCGUAGAUAUGCGGAGGAACACCGAUGGCGAAGGCAAUCCCCUGGGCCUGCACUGACGCUCAUGCACGAAAGCGUGGGGAGCAAACAGGAUUAGAUACCCCGGUAGUCCCUGAGCGGGCUGGCAAGGCGCAU
rnacentral:rRNA from 1 species